rnacentral:lncRNA from 1 species
CCAAGUGUUUGUGGUGAUUUGUGAUUCCAUUUGAGGCAUUCACACUAUUGGUGCUUGGCUCUCAAACUCCAAACAAUCAACCAUCAUCAAAAGGUAUGUAUUUCUACUAGUACUUUUAUGAUUCAUAAUCCUUAUGCUAUGCUAGUUAGGAAGAAACCUUGGAAGUUAUUAUUUGCAUGUAUUUUAGAAGAAAACAUAGAUCCAAGGUUUAUUAGGGUUGCAUGCACACUUAGGAAGUGUUAGAUUGCUCAAAACCCAACAGUGGUAUCAGAGCCUAGGCUUGCUUGUUUGAUACUUGAUGCAAAAUAGUGAAAAAAGUUGAAAUUGUUGCUGUCUGGCUGAUGGACUCGCCGAGUCCAUGGGGGGACUCGCCGAGUUCAAGGCAAAAUUCAUCCUACUCGGCGAGUAGGUUCGUGCACUCGGCGAGUAGAAUGAUCAGAAUGCAGAAUUUCGACUUUUGCUGCUGGAAAUGGACUAGAAACAUUACCCUAAACUGUUUUGGUGUUUUAAAACUUGUUUUAGUUGGUGUAAUGGUUGUUCUAAUCCAUUUACAAUAGCAUAUAUCAAAAUUCCAUGAUUUUUAUGUGUUCAUAUAAUUCUUGAAAUUUUGAUGAUCAUGUUCAUGUUCUUAUGAAUUUAGAAGAUGAUAGGAAUUAUUUGCUGAAUUGUUUAGAAUUAAUUCUUGAUCAUUUAUGUGUUUUAAUGGAGUCCAUAAUUUGUCCUCAAGUUAUGGAUAUCCAAAGGUCACUUUUCUUUAACACACACAUUUAAACACAUAAGUUACAUGAAAAUGAAGAGUCUUCAUUUUUAUGAACCUUUAAUUCAUAAGUUAUGAAAUGAAAAGUUUUGGAUAGUUACAAAACUUGCCCUCAAGUUUUGGAAUUUGAAAAGUUUCACACACUUUAAUAAACUUUAAUUCCAACACUUAGAGUUUUAAAAGUUAAAAUUCAACACUUAUACUAUUUAUAACAUUAAUGGUUAAUUAUUAUAUAUAUGUAUAAGAACAAGUCGUUUUACCGUUAGUAGGCCUCAUUCACGAAGCCGGUCUAUAAGGUGGGUAUAAGGUUGUUGCCUAUAAAAUGGCGACUUAAUGGGUGUCCACUCUCACCCACCGCUUGCUUGAUCGGUGGAGGGUCGUUAGCCGAACGGGUAGGACAAUGACUUUAAAUUCUCAUUAAAAGUAUAAUGAUUAUUAUAAAGUAACUAAAAAUUUUUUAUUUAAUUCCCAAUCUUAGUUACUUUAGGAAAAAUGUGAAUUUGGUGCUAGCCCAUGGAAUUCACACUUUGUACCUUACCAAGUCGUUGGUGGAGCGUGUGUGGUUAACCGGCACACUAACUUGGACUAGUAAGGAUCACGAAGGGUGACUUAAUGUUUGUCAUAGAUCAAUGGAGCGUGUGUGGUUAACCGGCACAUUGAUUAGGUGAUAAUAUUAAGGGUACCAAGUGAAUUGGUAUGGUUAUUCACACCUUGUUUUGUGAUCCUCGGCAUCCCAGUCACAAAAUUUGAGAGGGCACACUCGAGAUUGAAACAUGCCAUUGAAAAGUUCAAUGAAUCUCAAAAGAUCUAGGAAUUUCAAAUCCAAUUAAAACCUAAUAAAUUAUUUCGUUUUUCAUGGUGGAAAUUGGUGAAUCGUCAUUCGCCUACCUUCAAAUAUUUUAUAGCUUGGAUUACGGCAUCCCUCUUCCAAAUUAUAAAAUAUUGUGUUGGGUCCUAGCCUUAAUAUUUCAUAUUGGGUGUUAUAUUAAGGACUUUGAAUCAACUAACUUGAUUUUCUCCCAUUAUAGAUGUCUGGUUCAGACAACUAUGAUCUUCCCAAAUCUCUUGAAGAUGGUGUCCCUCAACAUCAUGCUUCACUUCCUCCACCUCCUCCAAUUAUUCUCCCUCACCCACAAGUUCUUGAAAAGUUUAAAGUCACUCAAUCCCUAUUGGCAAGCAUAGUCUAUGUGUGCUCACAUCUUGGAGAUAAAGUCACAUAUUGACAAGCCGGGAGAGUUGGGUGUCAAAGUCUCGUGAAAGUUGGAUGUUCAAUCACUUUCUUAGUAACAUAGUGAGUCUCUUUGGGACUACUAUGAGACAGACUAUGACAUGACCCUUAAUGAUGUUAUCUAUUUGCUUGGUGUUGUGGAAUCAGCAAUGAUUUGGAACACCAGUAAAGCAAAUUUGAUUAAAAGAACAACUUCCCAAGUCUUAAAUGGACAUUGACAAUGGUAGCAUUGGAUAUCUAGAAAAGGAUUUCUCUUCCCAAUGGAAAGGGAUCGGCCAUAGUCAACUCGGUUGACCAAAUGGUAAAGAGAAAGGCUAAGUCUGAGAUAGUCUCAUGUGCCAUUACCAAAGGGUCCAUGUGUUUUGUUGCCAAAGGAAGGGGCAUUGGUUGCGAAGCUGCCCUAUUCACCUGAAAGGUCAUAAGGUUGAUCAAGUCAAGAGGUUUGACUCUACUUCGGGUAAAGUCCACUGUCUAACUCUAUUAAGUUCCUAUUUGGAGAUUCUUAUUACAUAAUGUGAAUGGGUCACAUGCUGAUGUUUUUAAGAAUCAAAGAAAAGAUAGGAAGCUUAAAGUAAGUAUAUGUUGAUUCUGAUUGCGAAGGUGGGUUUCGAUCGCAUGGUUCGGUAAUCAGAAUUUUGAGCUGUUGCUUAAGAGUUAUAAUAUAUUGCUUAUGAAUAGAUAACAACAAGGUUUUCAUGUGGAUUGUAAGGAUAAGUUUUUCCGCAAAGUUUUAAAAUAAAAAAAAAAAAGGGUUUUAAUUUUAUUUAUUUUAAAAAUAUCCUUACAAUGGCAUCUGUGGAAAAUUGUUGCUUAUAUGUUUCCAGUAAUAGCAAUAUUGGAAAGUGGAUUUGAUUCUUUCAUUUGUGGUAGUGUCUGAAUUUACCAAAUGAAGAAAGUUUUUCAUCACCCAAGUUUCAAUUGGACAGAAACUUGGAAUCAUACAAGUUGUAUUGUAUGAUGAAUGAGAAUUUUCAUCUUUGAAAAUUAAGACUAAUUCUUUGAUCACAUGUAUAUGUGAGUCAAUUGAAGGACUAAGGAAUUAGGUACACUGGGUGUGCGCUGGUCAAGGUCCACCACAAAGAUUGAUUUGUCAUGAUUUACUAAAGAUUAGUAAAUAUGAUUAUACUUAUGAGGUUAAGUAUAAUUCUGUAACAUUGGAAAGGUUACAAUGUAUGACAAAACAAAUGAGAAGAAUCAAAUUAGGCAGAAAGAUAAAAGUUUCUCAAAUCUGAAAGGAUGGGAGAGUACUUUAGUAUCGUAUUUCAUGAUCAUCUUAAUGAUUAUGAAACCAUAUCACAAAUUCAUACUCUAAGGACGUCUUAGUGCAUUGUUAUGGCUAAGAAGAGAGGUCAUGAAUUGUUGGAUUGGUUAAAAUCAAGAAGAUGAGUCAUACUUCGUUCCAAAACAAUUCUUAGAGUCAUACUCCAAGAUUGUAACUUUGAGUGACAUAAAGGAAGAUUUAUUAACACUAGUCAAAUGUAAGAGUAAAAUGUUUUCUACUCUUGUACAUUUGAGAUUGGUAAGUUGUGAUGUCUUGGAUGAGACAAAGACCAACUAAGACCAAUUGUGUGAAGUGUUAGUCUUGAUAAGAAUCCGCACUAUCCCUUGAAUAUUUGUUUUGUCAAGGAAUGGUUCUUGACUGGGGAAACUUAUAUGUCAAGGGGACAGUGGGAGCCUUAAAGAUCCUGAAAGAGUUUCAAGAUUUAAUCAAGAGUAAAACCUGUAAUUUAUCACUAGCACACGACUUAAGGUUUGCAACCUAUCGUGUUGACAUAAUUCUUAUUUCUGUACCUACUUCAAAUAAGUUGAAUUUGCAUGUGAGUUAUCAGAGUUCAACUUGGAAGCAUUGGUGGGCCUUGUGCUACCAAGGUGACAAGAAACUAAGAUUGAACAAGUUUAAUCCAUGUAAGGCUGAAUUUGUCACUAACCUUAUCUUGUGAUUAUGGUUUUGACAAAUUCACAUGGAUAGGAACUCAUACACUAUAAAAUCUAAGUGUCAUAAGGUUUCUCUCCGAUUCAUGAAAAUGAUGGUGAGGAAACGCUUUCACUAAGUAGAUUUUACGUAGAUAUCAAUUGUGUUAUUUGCAUUUUCAAAAGUCGUUAGUGGAGCGCGUGUGGUUAACCGGCACACUAACAUGGACUUGUGAGAAAUGGCAAAUGCCUAAGCAAUUGAGACUAUGAUUACGGCAUCCCUUUUCAUAGUUCUGAAAAUUGUUUAGACACACAUGUGAGCUAUCUAAGAAAGGGUGUAUGAAUCUAAAUUUCAGAAGUCCAGCAGAUUUCUGGAAAUAUGUCAGAGCUAGUGGGAGCAUAAGUGUUAUGCUGAUAAUCAUCAUGUUAGUGGGAGCAUGAUUAUUACGUUUAGUGUUGCAAGUUAGCAAUGUUAAUUAUAGAAAACAAAGUUUCAAUUCGUGAAGUUGCAGGGGUUGAAAAGUUGUUUUGCUAUAAUUAAGGGAGAGGAAAUUAUACUUCAUUUCAAUUCUAAAGCUUAGAUUGAGAUUUUAAUCAUCUUUAGUCAAGAAUAUAUAUAUGAAUUUUAUGUUGGAAUGGUUCAACUUGAAGAAAUUCUAUAUAUAUUGCGUUUUCAAAAUUCGAUUAUGAUUACGGCAUCCCUCUUCAUAGUUAAAUUUUGAAAACAUGGCAAAUAAAAAAUAUUGUAGCAAAAGACUGGUCUAGUAUCAUGUCUUUAUGUCAAACAUCAUGAAUCGUGUCCCAUAUGCUUCGGAUAUAGGAUCGAUUGCAUGUGCUAUAAUAUUCAUCUUUUCUAAAUUUUCCAAAUGCUUAAGGCAUUGAGAAGGGAAAAGUCUAGAACUGGAUAUGACUAAAGUGAUUAAGCAAUUGUCGAGGACAAUCUGAGGUUCGCCAAAGAUUGGUUGCUCAGGGAAAGUUGGAAGUAUGAUGUAAGUUGUCGGAAAGGACCAUAUUGACAUAUUCUGAAAAGAAGUAACUCUUGUUCGGAAGUGAUAGUCAAAAUGGGACUAUGGAAAUGUCUCCAUAGGUGGAAGUUAUUCAAUCUAUGUAAGAUUAGAAAACCUUAAUGCAAGAAGGAUGUUCAAAGCAAUGUACUUUGAAUAUGAGACUUCCGUUCCAUAGAAGUUGACCUUCUUUGGAAUACUCUGUAAUGACUGGUGACAAGGUUUUGGUGACUUUGUGCAUAAUCAUUACAAGAGGAACAUUGCAUAAAAGUUUAAAAUCUAACAGUUUUUUUGGUAAAUGAUAGGAAUCGGGGAUUCUCACAUUUACAAUAAGGAUUUGGGAUUGUGAAAUGAGUAUCAUUGGAAUCAUGUUCAAUUGAUCUACAUCACAAUGUAAGGAUCAUAGACAAACAUAGUGUGCAUACUUGGAGUAUGGCAUAACUAUUGUUUAGAAAAACAAAGUGUACAUGCUAGGAGCAUGGGACGACUGUUGUUUUUAUUCAAGUCUUAAGUUGAUUGUUUGAAACAUUAUACAAUGAAUAAUGUGUAAUCAAUAUGGUGAUAAAUAAAAGGUGGUUCUAUUUAUAUUCAAAAGGGUUCUGAGACCAUAUUGGAUUCGAUUAUUAUUGUGUUUCACUUUGCAUGUUUUGACUUCCAAAAUAGCUAGGUUAUUCUUUCCGAAUGACUAAGUUAUUUAAACACUCCACAGUCGUUCAUAUGUUGGAAGUAGGUAUGAAUCAAGACUGUCAUGAAUCGAGUUUGUAGAUGGCUAAAUGGGUUUAGUCAUAGCAAUGGUUGCUACAACAUUCAUGAGUGCUCAUAAGUUAUGAGUAUUGGAAUAAACCCACGCUCACUUGUAUCACUUCAUGGAAUUUAUCUCGAGUGAUCGUGAGACGGUAAUAUCAUAUAAAUCUUCAAACCUAGAGAUAUGAGUUGUUACCUAUGAGUUGGUUGUGCAUUGAUUGCACGUAAACGCAUCAGUAACUUGAUGUUAUAAAACGUGCCUUUGUGUACAAUUCAACAAGUAGUAGAACAAGCAUAUGAGUCGAAGUUUAUCUGUUCCUUCUAGAAAUAGAAGCGAUAUCUGGGCCCCUCGAUGAUUUUGUUGUGACCUAUGUACCGGCCGGUCAGAACUAAAUUGAUGUGUUCGAUUAAGUUCUUUGUCAAACAAAUCGAAAAUCGGGAAACAAACUGCUGGACAAUAAGUACGACGUUGUUCCAUGUAUUUGUCCGGCUGAUAUCAUGAGAACAGAGGAUUAUAUGAUCACUUAUCUAAAAUGGCGCUUCAUAGUUCAACAGAGUUUUCGAGAGCUACGAUUGCUGGUUGGUUCCUGAAGUAACAUACGCAAAUAUAGUUAUUAGACUUAUCCAAGUGGGAGUCUGUUGGAUAAGGUGUCUAAGUCCAUAACUUAUUUGGUACAUACUUGACCCGACCCGGCAUGGUCCAUUUGGGUUGCACUUCACCCAAACGAUUUAUGGAUAAUUUUAUGAGAAUUGUAUACUUACGAUUUAUUAAUAUAUUAUAAGUUAUAAUAUAUUAAUAUGAAGUCAAGUUAUUUAAUUAGUUUUAGUCUUAAAUUAAUUAUGAAUUAAUUUAGAGAUUAAAAAGAAGACUGAUUAAAUUAUGGGCUAUUAUAUUUUAUAUAGUGUGGGCUAAUACUCAUUUGUUAAUGGGCUAAGCUAAUAUGGAAGUCCAUGGAUGAUCCAUGGAGCUUUUAACCCAUGGAUCCUUGGAAAGGAAAAGACAUGGGUUAUUAGGGUUUCACCCUAACCAUGCACACUAUAUAAAGAAGCAUAUGAUGCAAGAAAUGUGACACUAGUAGUGUGAGACUUAGUGGUGGCCGAUUCCACAAGAAAGUAUACUACUCUCUCAAAGUUUUCCAAGUGUUUGUGGUGAUUUGUGAUUCCAUUUGAGGCAUUCACACUAUUGGUGCUUGGCUCUCAAACUCCAAACAAUCAACCAUCAUCAAAAGGUAUGUAUUUCUACUAGUACUUUUAUGAUUCAUAAUCUUUAUGCUAUGCUAGUUAGGAAGAAACCUUGGAAAUUAUUAUUUGCAUGUAUUUUAGAAGAAAACAUAAAUCCAAGGUUUAUUAGGUUUGCAUGCACACUUAGG